rnacentral:rRNA from 1 species
AUGGCGGCAUCCAAGGGAUCUGACGUGCCUGCUGUCGCUGAGCUGCAGGGAGAAGCGGCCCGGCGAGACGCGGUUGGGGGGAUCCAGGGUGGGCCGGAAGGGGACGAUGGGGUGGCUGUCGAACAAACCGAGGAGGGGCGGGUUGCGGCGGUGGUGGACGCGGAAGCGGCGGCAGAAGCCGGGGCCGGAGGCGAGGCCGCGCCAGCGCUUGCAGACGAGGGAGGCGCGCGGGAGGGAGGACGGCUGCGGCGGGAGGCGGAGGAGGAUCUCGGAGAGGAGGUCGUCGUCGUCCAGCGGCGACCGGCGGUGGCGGCGCACCUCGGCGCCCGCCAAGAUGGAUGCUAUGGAGGGCGGACCCCGGCCCUUCUGUGGCGCUCGUUGGACAAGUACGGUUGGCGGCGGCAAGCGGUGGCGGGGGGAGCAAGGUGCGGCCGCCUGGUUGCCUCCUGCCGUAUCAGCAGAGGAGAAGCAUCUGGGAGAAAUUGCGGCGUCGGCUCUGGUGGAAGGCAGGUACGGCAAGCACCUGGCGUCGCUUCAAGAGUGGAUGAAAAAAGGUGUUCCCCCAUGUGCGUGCACUCUAGCUGCUGGCCGUCGACGAGGAUCAUCACCCACCGAAGACGUAUGUCUCUAUCCUCUCCUCUGUUCAUAGAAAGUGGAGCACACCGGCAUGAUGAGAAAUUGCAGUUGGAAGUGAAAUUUGAUCUUUUGAAUCUCAAGUUUCUGUCAACUCUAUAA